GAUGAACGCUGGCGGCGUGCCUAAUACAUGCAAGUCGAGCGAACAGACGAGCAUCUUGUUCCGCUGUCGUUAGCCGCGGACGGGUGAGUAACACGUAAAUAACCUACCUAUUACACUCGACUAACUUCGAGACACCGGAGACAGUACCGGAUACUCUAUUGAACCGCAUGGUUCUGUCGUGAAUGGCGGUCUUUUUGCUAGUUGUAGGUGGUUCCGCGCCGCCUUAGCUGGUUGGUAAGGUAGCGGCUGACUAACGCAACGAUGCGUAGCCGACCUGAGAGGGUGAUCGGCCACACUGGAACUGAGACACGGUCCAGACUCCUACGGGAGGCAGCAGUAGGGAAUCUUCCGCAAUGGGCGAAAGCUUGACGGAGCAACGGCGCGUGAGUGAUGAAGGUCUUCGGAUCGUAAAACUCUGUUAUUAGGGAAGAACAAAUGUGUAAGUAGCUAUGCACGUCUUGACGGUACUUAAUCAGAAAGCCACGGCUAACUACGUG
rnacentral:rRNA from 1 species